rnacentral:rRNA from 1 species
AUACGUAGGGACCAAGCGUUGUUCGGAUUUACUGGGCGUAAAGGGCGCGUAGGCGGCAAUUCAAGUCAGCUGUGAAAUCUCCGGGCUUAACUCGGAACGGUCAGCUGAUACUGUUUUGCUAGAGUGCAGAAGGGGCAAUCGGAAUUCUUGGUGUAGCGGUGAAAUGCGUAGAUAUCAAGAGGAACACCUGAGGUGAAGACGGGUUGCUGGGCUGACACUGACGCUGAGGCGCGAAAGCUAGGGGAGCGAACGGGA